rnacentral:miRNA from 1 species
GUGCUUCCUGCGGGCUGAGCUCGGGCUUCGCGCUGCCCGUCAGCGCGCAGAUUAAGGCUGACAGCGCCCUGCCUGACGCGGCCCGCGCUCCUC